AGAAUCAACGCUGGCGGCGUGCCUAACACAUGCAAGUCGAACGGGAAAGUGGAGCAAUCCAUGAGUAUAGUGGCGACCGGGUGAGUAACACGUGACUACCUACCCUUGAGUGGGGGAUAACCUCGGGAAACCGAGGCUAAUACCGCAUAAUAUCGAAAGAUCAAAGGAGUAAUCCGCUUUUGGAGGGGUCGCGGCUGAUUAGCUAGUUGGUAAGGUAAUGGCUUACCAAGGCGAAGAUCGGUAUCCGGCCUGAGAGGGCGCACGGACACACUGGAACUGAAACACGGUCCAGACUCCUACGGGAGGCAGCAGUGGGGAAUUUGCGCAAUGGGGGAAACCCUGACGCAGCAACGCCGCGUGGAGGAUGAAGCCCCUUGGGGUGUAAACUCCUUUCGACUGGGAAGAUUAUGACGGUACCAGUGGAAGAAGCACCGGCUAACUCUGCGCCAGCAGCCGC
rnacentral:rRNA from 1 species